rnacentral:Y_RNA from 1 species
GGUUGGUCCAGGUGCAGUGGUGUUUGCAGCUAAUUGAUCACAACCAGUUACAGAUUCCUUUGUUCCUUCCCCACUCACUGCUCUACUUGACCAGCCUAAA